ensembl:lncRNA
CUGGAGUUAGGGCUUUAUGCUGCGAAGACUCUGUUUAUUAAGCGCAUACAGGAGUCCUGGGGUCCGAUCUCGUUCCAUCGCUUCCUGGCCGGGUAAGCGUGGGGUCCGAUGUCGUUCCAUCGCUUCCUGGCCGGGUAAGCGUGGGGUCCGAUCUCGUUCCGUCGCUUCCUGGCCGGGUAAGCGUGGGGUCCGAUCUCGUUCCGUCGCUUCCUGGCCGGGUAAGCGUGGGGUCCGAUCUCGUUCCACCGCUUCCUGGCCGGGUAAGCGUGGGGUCCGAUCUCGUUCCACCGCUUCCUGGCUGCGUAACCGUGGGGUCCGAUAUCGUUCCAUCGCUUCCUGGCCGGGUAAGCGUGGGGUCCGAUCUCGUUCCACCGCCUCCUGGCUGCGUAAGGGUGGGGCUCCUGUCUGUCCUCCUUUGUGACUUUACCGCCUCCCAGGUGUGUGCGGAUCCCAGCAGAGGACCCGUGCGAAGUGUUUCCAGCACACUGCUGGUGCAGAGGUCGGCACCCAGAGGUGAGGCCCGGAAGUGAGAGGGCAACCUCCCACACGCUCUGAGAAGUGGAGCCCACUCUCUUCAAAGGCAAGAGGACUGAAACGGCCCUGUUUUUAGUGCCAUCGAAACACACCCCUUGAAGAACGGUUCUAAGAAGACCCGUGUCUGUCCCAGGCCUGCCCCACAGCACCCCCGCUCAGGGAGGGAGCUGACCGCCUCCCCCCGGUUUGAAGAAGCUGCACACCAGACCUUAAAAGUCUUGCCCAGAAGUGCCACGGAUCUCCAGCUUCUGCGCACUAACUGAGGCAAGGCUUGCCCUGACACCAGAGCUUAAUGCGUGGUGAGAGCUGUGGGCUGCCGCCCCUCCCGGCGUGCCCAGGGGGUCCGGAUCAGCUCCUGGUCCGUGUUCCGGAACGUUGCCCAACGAGUGGUCCCUGUACGCCGUCAGCGCUGUGUCAGGAAUGCUGACUCUCGGGCCCACGCGGGGCCACUGCACCCGUGUCUGUGCCUCGCAAGACUUGAGGGGAUUUACGUGCUCACUAGAGGCUGAGAGGCGCUGGACGUUCAGAAUGAGAAACGCUGGUCUUCUGGACUCUCAGUUAAGAACGGGCCGUUACACAGCUACUUGAUGCAGACUGCUUCACGAGCCUUGAGCGUGGAUCUUCUGGCGGGAGGGGAAAUGGCCUGCUUUCUUCCUCGCUUUGAUCACUAAAGACGCAGCCAGGACUGCUCGUGGGACAGAGAUGGCCCGAGACACCCACAUGAGAUGCCCUCGUCUCU